rnacentral:rRNA from 1 species
AUUGAACGCUGGCGGCAUGCCUUACACAUGCAAGUCGAACGGUAACGCGGGGCAACCUGGCGACGAGUGGCGAACGGGUGAGUAACACAUCGGAACGUGCCCAGUAGUGGGGGAUAGCCCGGCGAAAGCCGGAUUAAUACCGCAUACGACCUAAGGGUGAAAGCAGGGGAUCGCAAGACCUUGCGCUAUUGGAGCGGCCGAUGUCAGAUUAGGUAGUUGGUGGGGUAAAAAGCCUACCAAGCCGACGAUCUGUAGCUGGUCUGAGAGGACGACCAGCCACACUGGGACUGAGACACGGCCCAGACUCCUACGGGAGGCAGCAGUGGGGAAUUUUGGACAAUGGGCGCAAGCCUGAUCCAGCCAUGCCGCGUGCGGGAAGAAGGCCUCGGUGUAACGC